UCGCUGGUGGUCCAGUGGUUAAGACUCCAAGUUCCCAAUGCAAGGGGCCCAGGUUCAAUUCCUGGUCAGGGAA
rnacentral:tRNA from 1 species